AGAAACCAACAGGGAUUGCCUCAGUAACGGCGAGUGAAGCGGCAACAGCUCAAAUUUGAAAUCUGGCCUCUGGUCCGAAUUGUAAUUUGUAGAAGAUGCUUCGAGCAUGGUCCGGUCUAAGUUCCUUGGAACAGGACGUCAUAGAGGGUGAGAAUCCCGUAUGUGACUGGGUGCCUACGCUCAUGUGAAGCUCUUUCGACGAGUCGAGUUGUUUGGGAAUGCAGCUCAAAAUGGGUGGUAAAUUUCAUCUAAAGCUAAAUAUUGGCCAGAGACCGAUAGCGCACAAGUAGAGUGAUCGAAAGAUGAAAAGCACUUUGGAAAGAGAGUCAAACAGUACGUGAAAUUGUUGAAAGGGAAGCGCUUGCAACCAGACUUGCAUGCAGUUGAUCAUCCGGUGUUCUCACCGGUGCACUCGAUUGUGUUCAGGCCAGCAUCGGUUUUGGUGGUUGGAUAAAGGCCUUGGGAAUGUGGCUCCUCCGGGAGUGUUAUAGCCCUCGGUGCAAUGCAGCCUACCGGGACCGAGGACCGCGCUUCGGCUAGGAUGCUGGCGUAAUGGUUGUAAGCGGCCCGUCUUGAAACACGGACCAAGGAGUCUAACAUCUAUGCGAGUGUUUGGGUGUCAAACCCAUACGCGUAAUGAAAGUGAACGGAGGUGAGAACCCUUAAGGGUGCAUCAUCGACCGAUCCUGAUGUCUUCGGAUGGAUUUGAGUAAGAGCAUAGCUGUUGGGACCCGAAAGAUGGUGAACUAUGCGUGGAUAGGGUGAAGCCAGAGGAAACUCUGGUGGAGGCUCGCAGCGGUUCUGACGUGCAAAUCGAUCGUCAAAUCUGCGCAUAGGGGCGAAAGACUAAUCGAACCAUCUAGUAGCUG
rnacentral:rRNA from 1 species